UCAGACGAUGCGUCAUGCAUAUCAAUAAGCGGAGGAAAAGAAACUAACAAGGAUUCCCCUAGUAACGGCGAGUGAAGCGGGAAGAGCUCAAAUUUGAGAUCUUAAAGGGUUUCCCUUUACGAAUUGUAGUUUAAAGAAGUGUUUUCUGUUGAGGUUUUGGUAAAAGUUCUUUGGAAUAGGACAUCAUAGAGGGUGAGAAUCCCGUAUUUGACCUUUACUUUCAACUUUGUGAUACACUUUCAAAGAGUCGGAUUGUUUGGGAAUGCAGUCCAAAAUGGGUGGUAAAUUUCAUCUAAAGCUAAAUAUUGGCGAGAGACCGAUAGCGAACAAGUACCGUGAGGGAAAGAUGAAAAGAACUUUGAAAAGAGAGUUAAACAGUACGUGAAAUUGUCAAAAGGGAAGCGUUUGACACCAGUGUUGUUUUUCUGAAAAUCAAUUAAAGAACUGUUUAUGCUAAGCUGUUUAGACUUUAUCAGCUAUCUGUUUAGUUUUGAGCUUUUCUUUAAUGCACUUUUCAGUUAACAAGUCAACAUCAAUUUCUUUUGCUGUAAAAAAGCUUGAGGAAGGUGGCUUGAGAUUCGUCUUAAGUGUUUAUAGCCUCUUGCCUAUGCAGUCGGAGAGAUUGAGGUCUGCAGCGUAGAUCCUUCGGGGCUAAAUGCAUUUGUGCUAAGUUAUAGCAUUUUAUAGACAACUUGUUGACUAUGAUUUGUCUUGUAGCUUACUCGCUUAUGUUAUUUUACCUACGCUUAGGAUGUUGAAUCUGUGCGAGACUAC
rnacentral:rRNA from 1 species